AUGCCUUCACUUUAUGAAGGAAUCGACUUCUAUACUUCCAUUAUCCGUGCCUGAUUUGAAGAAUUGAAUGGUGAUCUGUUCCGUGGCACUCUGGACCCUGUAGAGAAAGCCCUUCGAGAUGCCAAACUACACAAGUCACAAAUUCAUGACAUUGUCCUGUUAGUGGUUCUACCUGCAUCCCCAAGAUUCAAAACCUUUUGCAAGACUUCUUCAAUGGAAAAGAACUGAAUAAGAGUAUCAACCCUGAUGAGACCGUUGCUUAUGGUGCAGCUGUCCAGGUGGCCAUCCUGUCUGUAUACAAAUCUGAGAACGUUCAAGAUUUGCUUCUCCUGGAUAUCACUCCUCUUUCUCUUGGUAUUGAAACCGCUGGUGGAGGUAUGACUGUACUCAUUAAGUGCAAUACUACUAUUCCUACAAAGCAGACAUAGACCUUCACUACCUACUCUGACAACCAGCCUGGUGUGCUCAUUCAGGUUUACGAAGGUGAACGUGCCAUGACUAAAGAUAACAACUUACUUGGCAAGUUUGAACUCACAGGCAUACCUCCUGCCCCUCGAGGUGUUCCUCAAAUUGAAGUCACUUUUGAUAUUGAUGCCAAUGGCAUUCUCAAUGUCUCUGCUGUGGACAAGAGCACAGGAAAGGAAAAUAAGAUUACCAUCACUAAUGACAAGGGUCGUUUGAGCAAGGAAGACAUUGAACGUAUGGUCCAGGAAGCUGAGAAAUACAAAGCUGAAGAUGAGAAGCAGAGGGACAAAGUGUCAUCAAAAAAUUCACUUGAAUCCUAUGCAUUCAACAUGAAAGCAGCUGUUGAAGAUGAGAAACUUCAAGGCAAGAUCAAUGAUGAGGACAAACAGAAGAUUCUUGACAAGUGUAAUGAAAUUAUCAACUGGUUUGAUAAGAACCAGACUGCAGAGAAGGAAGAAUUUGAACAUUAGCAGAAGGUGCUGGAGAAAGUCUGCAACCCUAUCAUUACUAAGCUGUACCAGAGUGCAGGAGGCAUGCUGGGAGGAAUGCCAGGAGGAAUGCCUGGGGCUUCCUAGGUGAUGGAGCUCCUCCUUCUGGUGGUGCUUCCUCAGGUCACACCAUUGAAGAGAUUGAUUAAGCCAACCCAAGCAUAGAUGCAUCAGUGCUCCACAUAGUAAAAACAUUGAAGGAUCUAAAUUUGUAGCAAAUUAUGUGGCAGAUUUAAAGUUAAGCUGCUAUAGUAAAUUACUGGGCAUUCUCAAUUCUUGAAUAUGGAACAUGGGCACAGGGGAGGAAACAACAUUGCACUUUAUAAGCACUGUAUUGUAAGUGGAAAAUGCAAUGUCUUAAAUAAAACUGUAUUUAAAAUUGGCAAAA